GAUGAACGCUGGCGGCGUGCCUAAUACAUGCAAGUCGAGCGAACAGACGAGGAGCUUGCUCCUCUGACGUUAGCGGCGGACGGGUGAGUAACACGUGUAUAACCUACCUAUAAGACUGGGAUAACUUCGGGAAACCGGAGCUAAUACCGGAUAAUAUAUUGAACCGCAUGGUUCAAUAGUGAAAGACGGUUUUGCUGUCGCUUAUAGAUGGAUCCGCGCCGCAUUAGCUGGUUGGUAAGGUAACGGCUUACCAAGGCAACGAUGCGUAGCCGACCUGAGAGAGUGAUCGGCCACACGGGAGCUGAGACACGGUCCAGGCUCCUACGGGAGGCAGCAGUAGGGAAUCUGCCGCAAUGGGCGAAAGCCUGACGGAGCAACGCCGCGUGAGUGAUGAAGGUCUUCGGAUCGUAAAACUCUGUUAUUAGGGAAGAACAAAUGUGUAAGUAACUAUGCACGUCUUGACGGUACCGAAUCAGAAAGCCACGGCUAACUACGUG
rnacentral:rRNA from 1 species